CCGGAGAAUGUUAUCACGGGAGACACACGGCGGGUGCUAACGUCCGUCGUGAAGAGGGAAACAACCCAGACCGCCAGCUAAGGUCCCAAAGUCAUGGUUAAGUGGGAAACGAUGUGGGAAGGCCCAGACAGCCAGGAUGUUGGCUUAGAAGCAGCCAUCAUUUAAAGAAAGCGUAAUAGCUCACUGGUCGAGUCGGCCUGCGCGGAAGAUGUAACGGGGCUAAACCAUGCACCGAAGCUGCGGCAGCGACRCUSAKGYGUUGUUGGGUAGGGGAGCGUUCUGUAAGCCKKYGAAGGUGGCCUGUGAGGGUUGCUGGAGGUAUCAGAAGUGCGAAUGCUGACAUAAGUAACGAUAAAGCGGGUGAAAAGCCCGCUCGCCGGAAGACCAAGGGUUCCUGUCCAACGUUAAUCGGGGCAGGGUGAGUCGACCCCUAAGGCGAGGCCGAAAGGCGUAGUCGAUGGGAAACGGGUUAAUAUUCCCGUACUUGGUGUUACUGCGAAGGGGGGACGGAGAAGGCUAUGUUGGCCGGGCGACGGUUGU
rnacentral:rRNA from 1 species